UAAUCUGAUUGUCAUACCAAACAUAUCAAUCAAGAUUUUUAGUAAUUUUACUACAACAUUAUCUGUGUGUACCAAAUAUAGUAAUUAAUACUAGCAAGCUAUCUUGAAGGCAAUCUACAUUACCUUCAAAGAUUGUCUGGUGAUGUACCAAAUCCAACCUAAGUGUUAGCAUUUUAGAAUGAAUUGGCAAUAGAAGGCAACAAACCUAACCUUCUGGGGCUUCUGUGGGU
rnacentral:lncRNA from 1 species